UACGUAGGGUGCAAGCGUUGUCCGGAAUUAUUGGGCGUAAAGGGCGCGUAGGCGGCGCGGAUAGUCGGCGGUGAAAGCCCGGAGCUCAACUCCGGGUCGGCCGUCGAUACUUCCGGGCUUGAGCACUGUAGAGGCAGAUGGAAUUCCGGGUGUAGCGGUGGAAUGCGUAGAGAUCCGGAAGAACACCGGUGGCGAAGGCGGUCUGCUGGGCAGUUGCUGACGCUGAUGCGCGACAGCGUGGGGAGCAAACGAG
rnacentral:rRNA from 1 species